CACGUUGGCCCGGGACGUGGCCGUGGGAGGAGGAGCUAGACGGGAAAACAUCCCCUGACUCCACCCGCUGGGAGGAAGGACGCGCCAGCACCCGCACCGCCCAGGCCGCCUCGGAAGAGCUAGAACUGAGGCCCACCCUACCUCCCGGCCACCUCUAGACUCCGCGGAGCUAGGCGGCAGGGCAAGGCGAGAAAGCGGCGGCGGCUGGGCUGGGGAGCCCCUGGAAGAGCGCGUCACCACCUGCUGAGCUCCGCCCACCACCCGCUCCGUCAGGCUUCCGGAUGCAGUUGAGACUGAGCACACGUCAGGAACAGGUGUUCGGUGCACGCUGGGAUCUGCGGGAAUCGGUGCCCGGCCCCACCUGCAGCACAACCAGAAAAAAGCCCCCGUUGGUGGCAGGAAGAUGCUGCUGUCACAUGUGUCCAUCACCUCACAUGAUGAUUCAUGAAGAGUUUCCAUGCUCAUCUACCUCUGACUUAUUGAAAACUUUAAAGAACCUUUAAAGAUCCGAGAAUGUCAAUCAAUUGUCCAGAGUCACCUAUAUGACAGAUCUGGAAAUCAAAGUGCCAUCAUUUGGUGUCAGGUCCAUGUUUCAGUUCAUUUAUGUUUAAUGAAGAGUAGUGAUCUUUUGUGUGGCCGUUCACAGUUUGUUUAUCCAUUCACCAACUGAUGCAUAUUUGGAUAAUUUUCAGCCAUAAACAUUUAUAUACAGGUUUCUAUGUGUGGACAUAUAUCUUCACUCUCUUGGGUGAAUACCAAGGAGUGAAUGACAUUGCUGGAUCUCAUAAGAAGUGUAUGUUUAGCAUAAUAAGGAGCUGUCAUACUUUUUCAAAGUGGCCGUACCAUUUUUCAUUUCCAUCAGCAAUAUGUGAGGGGUCUAGUUGCUCUGCAUCUUCAUCUGAAUUUAAUGAUGUCAGGUUUUUCUACUUGAGCCAUCAUAUUGCUUUGUAAUGGUAUUACAUUUUAGUUUUAAUUUGAUUUUUCUAAUGUAUAAUAAUGAGUAUGUUUUUGUUUGUCAUCUGUUCCUUUUUGAUAAAGUGCCUAUUUGAUCUUUUCCUCAUCUUAAAAAGUUGUUUCUUACUGAUUUCAAGAGUUGUAUAUAUGCUACAAAGGUUUUUCCAAAGAUAAAUGAUUUGUAGAUACUUUC